rnacentral:rRNA from 1 species
AGUGAACGCUGGCGGUAGGCCUAACACAUGCAAGUCGAACGGCAGCACAGUAAGAGCUUGCUCUUACGGGUGGCGAGUGGCGGACGGGUGAGGAAUACAUCGGAAUCUACUUUUUCGUGGGGGAUAACGUAGGGAAACUUACGCUAAUACCGCAUACGACCUACGGGUGAAAGCAGGGGGUCUUCGCACCUUGCGCGAUUGAAUGAGCCGAUGUCGGAUUAGCUAGUUGGCGGGGUAAAGGCCCACCAAGGCGACGAUCCGUAGCUGGUCUGAGAGGAUGAUCAGCCACACUGGAACUGAGACACGGUCCAGACUCCUACGGGAGGCAGCAGUGGGGAAUAUUGGACAAUGGGCGCAAGCCUGAUCCAGCCAUACCGCGUGGGUGAAGAAGGCCUUCGGGUUGUAAAGCCCUUUUGUUGGGAAAGAAAAGCAGCAGGUUAAUACCCCGCUGUUCUGACGGUACCCAAAGAAUAAGCACCGGCUAACUUCGUG